UGAUGAGUCACCCAGAUGAUGAGGAAUGUGCCACUGCCUCGCUGGCCUUCCCGUAGACAGGCAGCCUGAGUGGAGCUUCCUCUCAUGAAUGAGGACCUAGGCUGUGAUGGGAGAAAUGCUUGUUCCAGAUAGAGCAUGAUGGUCACAUUCUGCAGUCCCUGGGAGCAACUGCAUUUUCUGAGGAUGGGAACUAGGAGACUCCACCAUUACAGGCAGCUACCAACAGGUGCCAGCAAGUCCUUCCUCUGCACCUGCAGAAGCAGCAACAGAAAAGACACAAGUGGAAGAGGAAGUGAAAACAAGGAAGCCCAAGAAGAAAACCAGGAAGUCCAGGAAGAAUGCCUAGUGGAAUAUCCUGAACUAUUGGGACAUUUUUAA
rnacentral:lncRNA from 1 species